AACGAACGCUGGCGGCGUGGAUAAGACAUGCAAGUCGAACGGAAUUACUUUUGUAGCAAUACAGAAGUAAUUCAGUGGCGAACGGGUGCGUAACACGUGGGCAAUCUGCCGAAAAGUGGGGNGUAGCUCGCCGAACGGACGGAUUAAUUAACCGCCAUGUGGUGGAGGGACGGACAUCUUCCUUCGAAUACCAAACGACCGGGGCCGGAACCUACGGCGGCUUUUUGUUAGGAGGCCCGCCGGCCGUACUCA
rnacentral:rRNA from 1 species